AAUAGAUACCCGGGUAGUCCUAGCUGUAAACGGUGCACGUUUGCUGUAAGAGGAAUCGACCCCUUUUGUGGCGAAGCUAACGCGCUAAACGUGCCGCCUGGGGAGUACGGUCGCAAGAUUAAAACUCAAAGAAAUUGACGGGGGCCUGUACAAGCGGUGGAGUAUGUGGCUUAAUUCGAUGCAACGCGAAGAACCUUACCUGGCCUUGACAUGCACGUAGUAGAAGCCUGAAAGGGUAACGACCCCGCAAGGGGAGCGUGCACAGGUGCUGCAUGGCUGUCGUCAGCUCGUGUCGUGAGAUGUUGGGUUAAGUCCCGCAACGAGCGCAACCCUUGUGUCCUGUUGCCACUCCAACGAGAGUUGGAAGCACUCUGGACAGACUGCCUCGCUUAAACGAGGAGGAAGGUGGGGAUGACGUCAAGUCAGGAUGGCCCUUACGGCCAGGGCUGCACACGUACUACAAUGCCUGGUACAAAGGGAAGCAAGACCGUCAGGUGGAGCAAAUCCCAUAAAACCCAGGCUCAGUUCAGAUU
rnacentral:rRNA from 1 species